AACGAACGCUGGCGGCAUGCCUAACACAUGCAAGUCGAACGAGACCUUCGGGUCUAGUGGCGCACGGGUGCGUAACGCGUGGGAACCUGCCCUUAGGUUCGGAAUAACUCCCCGAAAGGGGUGCUAAUACCGGAUAAUGUCUUCGGACCAAAGAUUUAUCGCCUUUGGAUGGGCCCGCGUUGGAUUAGCUAGUUGGUGGGGUAAAAGCCUACCAAGGCGACGAUCCAUAGCUGGUCUGAGAGGAUGAUCAGCCACACUGGGACUGAGACACGGCCCAGACUCCUACGGGAAGCAGCAGUGGGGAAUAUUGGACCAUGGGCGAAAGCCUGAUCCAGCAAUGCCGCGUGAGUGAUGAAGGCCUUAGGGUUGUAAAGCUCUUUUACCCGGGAUGAUAAUGACAGUACCGGGAGAAUAAGCUCCGGCUAACUCCGUG
rnacentral:rRNA from 1 species